GGUAUCCUGUCUGAAUAUGGGGGGACCAUCCUCCAAGGCUAAAUACUCCUGACUGACCGAUAGUGAACCAGUACCGUGAGGGAAAGGCGAAAAGAACCCCGGCGAGGGGAGUGAAAAAGAACCUGAAACCGUGUACGUACAAGCAGUGGGAGCACAGAGCAAUCUGUGUGACUGCGUACCUUUUGUAUAAUGGGUCAGCGACUUAUAUUCUGUAGCAAGGUUAACCGAAUAGGGGAGCCGAAGGGAAACCGAGUCUUAACUGGGCGUUAAGUUGCAGGGUAUAGACCCGAAACCCGGUGAUCUAGCCAUGGGCAGGUUGAAGGUUGGGUAACACUAACUGGAGGACCGAACCGACUAAUGUUGAAAAAUUAGCGGAUGACUUGUGGCUGGGGGUGAAAGGCCAAUCAAACCGGGAGAUAGCUGGUUCUCCCCGAAAGCUAUUUAGGUAGCGCCUCGUGAAUUCAUCUCCGGGGGUAGAGCACUGUUUCGGCAAGGGGGUCAUCCCGACUUACCAACCCGAUGCAAACUGCGAAUACCGGAGAAUGUUAUCACGGGAGACACACGGCGGGUGCUAACGUCCGUCGUGAAGAGGGAAACAACCCAGACCGCCAGCUAAGGUCCCAAAGUCAUGGUUAAGUGGGAAACGAUGUGGGAAGGCCCAGACAGCCAGGAUGUUGGCUUAGAAGCAGCCAUCAUUUAAAGAAAGCGUAAUAGCUCACUGGUCGAGUCGGCCUGCGCGGAAGAUGUAACGGGGCUAAACCAUGCACCGAAGCUGCGGCAGCGACACUGUGUGUUGUUGGGUAGGGGAGCGU
rnacentral:rRNA from 1 species